AGCAGUCGCCGCGGGAAUACGGAGGGUGCAAGCGUUGUCCGGAUUUAUUGGGUUUAAAGGGUGCGUAGGCGGCCUAAUAAGUCAGUGGUGAAAGCCUCCAGCUUAACUGGAGAACUGCCAUUGAUACUGUUGGGCUUGAGUAUACCUGAGGUAGGCGGAAUUGACAGUGUAGCGGUGAAAUGCAUAGAUAUUGUCAAGAACACCAAUUGCGAAGGCAGCUUACUAAAUUAUAACUGACGCUGAGGCACGAAAGUGUGGGUAUCAAACAGGAUUAGAGACCCCCGUAGUCCCUGUCUCUUAUAC
rnacentral:rRNA from 1 species